UUCCAUUCCAAUCAAAGAAGGCUGGUAGAGGACUUCCGGGCAACGGAAUCUCUCAGCUCCAAUUGUAAUAACCUGUCCAUCGGGCAAUUCAUAGUUCUUCUCAACAGAUGAGCUGCUCUUGGCGGUCUCAAGCUCCUGUUCAUAGUCAAGUGCCACAUAAGCAAGCUUCUCCUUCAUGUCACGGACAAUUUCUCGCUCAGCUGAUGUGGUGAACAUGUAACCUCUUUCAGUGAGGAUCUUCAUGAGAUAGUCUGUGAGGUCACGACCAGCAAGGUCCAGACGAAGGAUGGCAUGGGGCAGAGCAUACCCUUCAUAAAUGGGGACAGUAUGACUCACACCAUCACCAGAAUCCAGAACAAUACCUGUCAUCAAAAGAAAUCCAUACGUCAUUAAAUAAAACUACUACUGCAUGUUCAACAGAGACAUAUUUAGAUUCCAAGAACUGAUACACACCAGUUGUACGACCACUUGCAUAGAGGGAAAGAACGGCUUGGAUAGCAACAUACAUUGCUGGAACAUUGAAGGUCUCAAACAUGAUCUGGGUCAUCUUCUCUCUGUUAGCCUUGGGGUUGAGAGGUGCCUCAGUGAGAAGCACAGGAUGCUCCUCAGGAGCAACACGAAGUUCAUUGUAGAAAGUGUGAUGCCAAAUCUUCUCCAUGUCAUCCCAGUUGCUGACUAUACCAUGCUCAAUAGGGUAUUUCAAGGUCAAGAUACCUCUUUUAGACUGAGCUUCAUCACCCACGUAUGCAUCCUUCUGUCCCAUCCCAACCAUAACACCAGUGUGUCGUGGUCGGCCCACAAUACUUGGGAAAACUGCCCUGGGAGCAUCAUC
rnacentral:lncRNA from 1 species